CUUUCGUCCACGAUACUACAUGAAUGUAUGCGCGAACAGUUAACAAUUUAACAAGAAAUUAAUAAGAUUAUUCUUCGAUGAAAUAAAAAUUUAGUCGGCGUUUACACGGAAAAUUUGUCGCGUAUCUCGCGACUAAACUUGAUUUAUUAAUGGCAACGUUCGUUAAAAAAUUCCAAUCGAGGAAUAACCCAGGCCAUAUCUGCUUAGGAAGGGGGAAAAUUGGAAAAGUUUACAACUCGUUGGAAAAGUUACACCUCGAUGAAAUAUACGAGCAAAGGAAAUUUGCAUAACGAAGCACAGGAUUGUCCGGAUGAAAAGAAAACACGGUUAAUAUUCUCGGUGUUUACAUGAUAUUUAUUUUCAUGUUUUAUAGGUAAUCCUUAUAACAUUUCUUACAUAUGGGAAUAUAUAUUCAUGGGCAAGUCAGAGAAAUAAAAAAAGAAGUAAAUCGCCGCCCACUUACGCACUCUUCGAACUCAUCCUACAAAAUAGCUCUCUCUUUCUCUCUCACACACGUUCUAUGUUACUUACAUCGCAUAUAUGCACAUAUAAUAUUUAUGUAUUCCCUAUUACAAGUUAAAUAUUAUACGUAUAUAUAUAUAUAUAAUAUUUCUCCAUCUCUUACAUUCCUGUCGUUUAUUAUUUUUCCACAUUUACUUCGCCUUUUUUUUUUUUUGUAAAUUUUCUCCUUAGUAUACAAACGGGUAAUAUUAAACUUCGCUAUUUAUCGCCGCAAUAUCCUCUUACAAGUUAAUCGUCGAUGAUCGAUUAACAAUAGCAAUCAUCAUCGAGUCUAUUUAUUUCCAUACGCCUUAUGUGCGUGUGUCGUUGUCUCACAUUUUCCUUUGCCUAUCUCUAUCGUCUAAUCUUUUAUAUUACCCUCCCUUUUUCAUCCGUUUUCUUUCUUUUCUUCUUCUUCUUCGAUACACGCGUUCGAAAAACAGACAAGUACAGCUCGAUCGGGUCGUUUCCAGGGAAACGAUCACAUCUUUCGAAGGGAAAACGGAUUCUAUCGAAGAGGAGAGUAAAAAAAAAAGCGAAUCGCAAACAAUUUCGUUAUCUGUAACCGGAAGUCUGUCGAAAAUCUCGGUCCGCCGACGAAGAUGAAGAAGAGCACUUCCGGUUAUUUCAGACUCUAAUUGAAAAUCUUGCUUUCUUCGCGAUAAGCUUGUGGUUUCUUCUUUUCUUCUUUUCACGCGCACUCUUCGUAAUCUGAACAGAUAUCUUAGUCUUAGAAAAGAAUUGAUAUAUUAACUAUAAUAUUAAUUACGAUUUCCGCAAAGGAUGGUCUUAUUUUUCUUAAUAUUUUUUAAAUCCCUUACAAACCAAAUUGGGAAUCAUAAAAAGAAAUUGGCAUAAAUUUUCUUCAAAUCUACGAAAUUGUAUAAUAAUUUUGGGGGAAAAAAGGUUUGAGUAGGCGAUCGUUAGGCUCAAAGUCUGGUUGGAAAUUGCUGAAAAAUAUGCAUCUUUGUAUGAUCGUAUUUUCGUAGGAAACAAAGAAACAUUUAUGAGAAAAGAGUUCGAUUAUCGCAAUUGAGUGCAAACUAUAUUGUGAUUCCCCUUGUUCAAGUAUGUUAAAAAGGAUCUCUGUUCCAGAUUACGACGUAUACACUUACAACCAAAGAUAUUAUUCGAUUAUGCACAGAAUUAUAGUAAAUCGAAUCCCCGUUACGUAAAAGCGGAAAUGAAUCGCGAGAGGUCGAACAUUUAUACUAUACAUCUGCUUGAGCUUCAAAUCGUAAAUUCUCCCAUUUCGAGUCAUUCAUCGUUGAUUCGAGUAUUUUAUACAAUCUGUAAUUUAUUUUUACGCUUCCUUCUUAUAUUCUUCUGUUUUACAUACUAAUUUUGAUACUUCAUUUUUCUUGAUUUCACUUUACUUAAUUAUUAACCGAUUUAUACUUAUAUAUAUUACUACACUAUAUUGGCUGAAUACCAUGAUUGCUCAACCUCCCUUUAUUCGCUUCUUUCUUUUUUCUUCUUCUUGUUAUAUAUAAUCUUUGUUUCUUUUGGCUUUUCUAUUUUUGACAUUGUGACAAUCAAAUUGGGUUUCGUCUUUUUCAAACGAAACUCCACGUUUGUCGAUAUAAUAAAAUACACAAGCUUUAUACGUAAAGAAAUUCAAUUUUAAAACGACCAACCCAUUGGAGUUGCGCUUAGAAUCCAAACAACAUAAAACUAUUUGAUCGAAUCUUCUCUUCGAUCGUAAAAAUGUUCAUUCUCUGAAAAAAUAUACGAAACAACGAGGCGUUGCUAGAUUAAAAAAAUAAUACGACGCGUUUCAUAUAGAAACGUUCGUCAUCAGUGUCGCCGAUUUCAUUACUUGAAAAAUAAAGAAAGAGGAAAACGUCGUUGCUUGACAUCGAAAACUAACGGCUAACUCAACCACGAUCUUCGAAUUUUGCUAUUCUCGUUUUAGUAAAUAAAAAGACCCUUAAUAUUUCGCAUAAAAUUGAAAUGAGAAUUUUAAUAACGAUUCUCUCAUAUUUUCUUUAAACUUAAUCAAUUUUUCCAACGACCGAGAAAUACGAAUCGAAUCGAAAACGUCUUGAAGAGCGUAGUAGAGUUAAAACAGGCUUCCAAUGGGUCGAAUCGAACAUCGAUCUUAAAUCUAGAACGGCACGUUCCACGCAAGAAUCCACGAAACUAAUAAAAUGUUCUCUUAAAAACAAAAAGAAAAAUCCAUUUCUCUGAACAUAUAACGCGAAUGUUCAUUUAUAUCUUUGCUAACGAUAGACAAGAAACGUAGCAUUUUUUAUGGAAACAUUACAUAGAAAGAAAAUCACUUUUUUCUACUAUCAUCAAGCGGACAGAUUAAAUUCCAUCUUCUGCCUUUCCACGCGAUUUUUCACUCGAGUAAUUAUAUUCCUCCCCUUUCCAUUCAAUUUUUCACGAGUAACUCGAUCUUCUCCAUUUCCACGCGAUUUAUCAAUAAAAAUGCGAUUAUCACCCUUCUUACGCAAUUUUUCAUUCAAAUUCGUAAAUCUUUCCCACCUUUUCACGCGAUUUAUCGCUUAAACUUAUUCCCUUUUUCCCCGUAAUUUUUCAAUUCAAUUCCGUCCCAUCUCUUUUCAUACGAUUUCUUCUUUUCACCACAAAGUCGUCGUUGCUUAAACAAAGCAACGUUCGAAGGAGCGACAGAACGGUGAUGUUCACAGUGGAGCAGCGAGCGGAAACGGACACAAGUGCCGUCGCGUUUCCUCGAUCUACGUAUCUUCUCCUCGUCGAGUGAUGCCAGAUCGAGAAAUGCUUCCCUUCAUUUCGUCCCUUCCGCUUAUAUGUGUUCGUCCUCGCACAUCGUGUAAACAUCCGAGAAAAAACGGUUCGCCUGUACUCUCAUCUUCUUUUACGCUUUUUUUAAAUCUUUUUUUCUUUAAUUCUUUUAUUCGUUUUAAACAAUGUAUCUGAGAAGAUCGUGCGUGUGUAUCGUUUGAUUAAUUCGCACGUUUUAAGUCGUACUUAAGGUGGCUAAAUCGCCUGGUACAAAAGAAGUCGAGGGAGAAUAUCUGGCAUCACCGAGGAUCCCACGAAGGAAUGAGAACUAAAUGAUUCGUACACGAUGCUAAUCGUAAGUGGUAAAACGCGUGUUGCUCGUCCCUCGUGUCUAUUUCGAAAUAGUCGAAGAUAGUCUGCUUUAGAUUUCUCGCGAACACUGUUUUGCUCCCACUAACGAUACCAUCUUUUUAGCAAGCGUUUCGAAUUAUCCAUCGUUUCGUUCGUUAAUCUUCCUUUCCAAAUUUCUACGAUAAAUAGUUUUCUAUAGAAUAAUAAUAAUAAUAAUAAUAGAAGUUCUGUUUCAGAGUAUCGAUAAUUCCGAUCGUUAAUUUUCUUGUUCUCUUUUCAUUCCACGUUGAUUCGUUUUAUAGGAAGCUUUACAUCAUCGAUCUUCCAUGGUGAAUCUUAUUUUCCAGCUUUUUCUCUCCUCUUUUUUAAGUAUUAUGGGAUCCUGUUUUUUAAAAAGGAUCUGCAAACAUCCGCAGCGAAUAUUUCUUAUCUUUUUCAUCGGUUCUUCCUCUCGAUUUAUAAGGAAUACAAAUUACCGAUGCCUCUAUCGAAGUCUCAAAGAAAACAACGCACGAUACAACGCAACUAUCGGAGAAUACUUAAUAAAUACGAGAAGCGUGAUUCGAUUGAUAAACUUCUGUGAAAUUGAAAUUGACCGUUGCGUAAACAAUCGCCGAUAUCUCAAUCGUAAAGACAAGAAACUCUUUUUGUCUCAUCUGCAACGUGGAAUUAUUCGAUUUCUGAAACAAGCGGCGUUCCUUUUGUCCAUGGAAUUUUUAUACACACGAUUAUACUUCGCCAAUAAUUACGUGUUCUUGCCUCUGGAAAAAUACAUCAUAAUCCGAUGGCUGGCUGCAUCGCGAAUAUCGAACGAUAGGAACAAGAAAAAUAAGUCUGAUUCGUCGUUUCUUUCGAUUAAUAUAUUUUGGAGCAAAACGUGUCUCGAUUAUCUUUCGUGUUCUUCGAAAAUAUUCGGUUCCUCGGUAGAAUUCCGACACGAGCGAGUGACGCAACACGUCCAUCGAUCUUACUCAAUAAAAUCUGCGCAAUUAUUUAAAACACACAAGGAUCGUGGCGCGAGCGUCUGGGAUUUCGCGAGUUUUUUCCCUGCGAUCGAGGAUGCUUCGUUGAAAUUCGCAGUUCGAGCUUGCGUCAUCGAACGAAUCCAUUGAUUCUAUCGAGAAAGAUUUGUCCUAUCGUCAACUUCUCGAGGACCAUUCCUAUCCGUUAGUUCGAAACGAGCGAAGAACGCUUUCUUUCAAUUUGAUUUACCUCGAUUUUUAUAGCUCCUAUCGAGUUAUUAAAUCUUUUAUAUUCUAUAUUCUUUGUAUUUUUAAGUAAUCUCAGUUCGUCGAGUUAUUGCAACAGCAAAGAAUUACAAUCUCUGUCGUUUCUUCUACUUUUCAACUAAUUUCCAUUUACAAUUUCACGUGUUUGCGUGGUCGCCACAAUUAUCCGCUGUUUCUUCCAUCUUUACCAUAAUCUCGACUUAUAAUCGACAAAAUUAUUCUCUUCUUCGAGACCAUCGCGUUCCAUUGUUUCGUCAAUUUCGAAUAAACGAUCGAUCGAUAACGCGUGAAAAUAUAAUAUACGUAAAUAAAAUAUGACGGUAAAAACACACUGUUCGAGUUAAAUGCAUAAGAGAGGCUCGUUCGAGGAUACCUUGAGCAUCAUCAGUAUGAUAUCGAUCGAACAGAAAAAUCGUCGAGUAGCUACGAGAAGAUUACCGAUUGAACGAGAGAUUGAACAGAUUUCGUACGAGGAUACACAGACAACACGGUAAAUUAGGCUUUCUAUCGCUUUCGUAUGAAAACAGUUUAGGCCGCUGGUGUUCUAUGAUCCUCUAUCUUCGUCGUUUCUUUCUUCGAAAUUGAUCAGAAAUCAACGUUGUAUAUGUUUCGCGAUCAAAUAUUUUCUAUAGAAGGCACAAAGAAAUGCACGUUCAUUUAAUUAUUGCAAACAAUUAUUAGCGAGGAUUUUCUUCUCUUUGAACGAAAUCAAUGAUACAGUAGUCCUCGCGGGGAAGAAUACAAUUCAGACGAGAAAACAGGAACUUCUACUCUAUCGAUUUGAAUUCUUGCAAAAGGAAAUAUUUAUAUAUGUACAUAUCAUUGCAAUAUAUCAAGGAUUUCGCGACAACACGAAAUUCUUUAAGAUUCACGGCUCGAACGCCGUUCGUCAGGCCAUUGAGGAUCGAUCCAAACGAUCGAUCUAUACCUCGAUCGCGAUUCCUCACCGAAAUCCCGGUUUCUUCUACGCGACAUACAUUCAUCCAAGCACACACAUCGUAUUAUCCGUCGGAGUAUAUCGACGGUAGCGUCUUUAUUUUUUUCGCACACGGCUCUCUUACUUAAUCCUACGGAUCACGUAUUUUCUUUUAUCCGCAAAAUUUCACCGCUGUCAUUGGUGAAAUCGUUCUACCGAUCGUGAAUCUAUCGUUACUUCAGCAGAACAGUAUCGAUGGAACUACGUUUCGUUCGAUUUCGUCUUCGUUUUUUUCGUUUUUCGAUUGUCUUCUUUCUAGUCGUCGUUCUUUUCCGAUCAAUCGAUCGACAAAUUGAAACGAUGAAUCGUACAAACGUCGAAACGAUACAAACAGAGGUGGAGCGAGAGAGGAGAAGAAAGGCGAAUUUCUUUAGCAGGAAAGAAUGUAAAAUAUAAAAUACAGGCGAACAAAAGUCACGAAUGGUAAAAUAAUUCGUUGGAGUUUUUAGGGCUCUGUAGGAUAGAGUUAGCGGUUGUAAGUGUCGAUUGAAAUUCGUUUUUCGACUGUAUGUUCUGCGAGGAACAAUUUACUUUAGCGUUUAAAAUAAUCGUAAAACAGAACGUGCACGAUGGUAAGUGUUCAUUGAAAUUUUCUUUCAAUUCGUAUAUCGUAAAAUAAUGUAUCUUAGCUUUAAAAAUUAUUGCAAGAGAAAGAGAGAGAAAUUGAUCGUAAACGUCGAUCUGAUCGUUUUUCCCCACUUUAUUAAAACAGAUAAAGAUAUAACAGGUAUACGAAUAAAGAUAAAAUAAAUUUAAGCAAUUUGGAAAAAUUUGUUCGCAUUAUACGUUUCUGUCUGAAAAAUUAAUAAAACUGGAAUUUUCAUCUUCGACAUUUGCACGUUAAAAUCGUUCACCAUUUCGACUCCUCGAUUCCUCGUUAAUGUCAUUUUAUCCUUUUAAUAUUUAAACGAAAGUUUGAUCGUUCGUCGUUUUUUAAACGCGUCCAUCGACACGACAUUAUUUCGUUCGCAUCCGCGAACCUACGUGUUCUGUUUGCUUUCCUCGAAAUACACAGAGUUCUAAAGGGGCGUUUGGCGUUCUACCGUUUAGUAUCAAAAGAAGUUACGUACAAGAUACAGGGAAACGUGGCCGUGGUGAUGUUUGUUCGCGGUCGAAUUGGUUUUCGAAUCUAGUCGAGAGAGUUCUUAACUCUGUUGGUGGUGCGGAGGAGAGAGAUCCUGCCAUUUUUCUUACACAUAGAACGAAUUAAACGAAAGAUGUUUAAUUAUACGGAUUAACCUGUUAAUAGGGUCAUAGUUUUAGCCAAAAACUACUAUAAUCGCGGAAUUAAGAUUCAACAGGAAUCAAUCAGUUUUAAUUAAAUUGUCUUCAAGUAACUUAGAAAUGCCAAUUAUAUGGUGUAAAUGGAUUUUAAAAGAAUUUGUUUGCGACUCUAAACUUUUUAUAAAUUCUUAUAUGUCUGCAAUGCAUUCAUCCAAAUUAGUUAAACCUUCAAGUUUGCCAUUUUAAAUCUCCUACAAACGCACAAACAUCCGCGAUUAAUUUAUUAAAGUUAGUGGAAAUUUUCCAUCGGAUCGGAUGUUCGUGCGCUUAUGGGAAAUUUAAAGUUACAAGAAUACACGAGAGGUCGCGGAAAUGAUAUUCAACAGGUAUCAAUCAGUUUCAAUUAAAUUGACUUCAAAUAAUUUAGAAAUAUCAAUUAUAUGGUGUAAAUGGAUUUUAAAAGAAUUUGUUUGCGGCUCUAAACUUUCUAUAAAUUCGUAUAUGUCUGCAAUGCAUUCAUCCAAAUUAGUUAAACCUUCAAGUUUGCCAUUUUAAAUCUCCUACAAACGCACAAACAUCUGCGAUUAAUUUAUUAAAGUUAGUGCAAAUUUUCCAUCGGAUACAUCGUCGAUGUUCGUGCGCUUAUGGGAAAUUUAAAGUUACAAGGAUACAGGAGAGGUCGCGUAAUAUGCAGAAGUAUAGAAAAUAUCCAAAAUAUAGUACUUGUUAUAACACUUGAAGUAAAUUCCUGUUUGAAUCCCAUUUCUUUUAAUCAGAUUUACGAAGACACGAUAAUUCAUAGACACCUGCAAUCUUAUCUGGCGUCAGAUAAUACAUAGUAGAUAUCUGGACCGAAAAAAAAAGAGAGAAAGAAAGAAAAGAAUAUACAAUCUAAGAAGACUGACAAGUGGUCGAGUGACUCUUAUUAAUUAGGUUUUCCCGAUUAACAGGUUAAAUAACAAGAUCUUGGGAUCGUAUAAUUAAACGUUAAGCAAAUAUCGAUACUUACUAACAACUAUCCAUAAUUUUUCGAAAAAUUGAUUUCACGAGCAAAUGGUAUUUGAAAGAGAAAGAUUCGUUCUUCGUAAUCGUUCUACCGAUCAUAAUACACACUUGAUUAACAAGUAUCGACGUUUAAAGUCCGCUUUAAUUCGAUAUUUAAUUACAAUAUCGUUGCGAUACUUGUCUAAACGAAGAUUUCAUUGAUCGAAAGAACUGUACAAUUGACUCGCAGACUUUGUUUCGUGUUUAUAUUAAUAUAUAUAUAUUUAUAUAUAUAUAUAUAUAUAUAUUCUUACAGUGUUUCGUUUAGACAGGUGUGCAGCUAGUUUCAAAGUUCGAUUUCACUUCAAUGAGAUUAUUACUGAUUAGAUUAUAAACGAUAAUUCAUGCGAUCGAUCGAUCGGUAUGUUUCUAGACGAUUUUUCUACGAAGCUACUUCUAGUGUUCUAAUUACUUAGCUCGCGAGACUACUACACGCGGUCUCUGUUAUCGUACAGCUUAACCUAAUCAAGAAACAUCGCGUUUGUACAGCUUAUCGAAUAUGUAUAUCUGCGAUCAGUCUGCUGCAAGUCGGCUGAAUAAUUUCCACGACAUUUCGAUGAACGUUCCUCUUCGAGUCGUGCUAUUUAUUUCCAUGUUUCGUUCAUCGUUCGAUUGUGCUUUUAUAGGAAACUCGGCGGCGUCACGACCGUCCGUUCUGAUUAGUUACAUAAUCGAUCGAUAAAAAAAUCUUUCUGUUCUUUUUCGUUGAAAAAUAAUACGAUUAGCUGCAGUUUUAAUUUUUAUAAAAAUUCAUGUUGUUUUUUUCACCCUUCGAGGCGACCAUAAGCGGCAAGUUUGUUGCCGAACAAUCGCGUACAAAUUAAAAGAUUAAUAAAAUUGAGCACCGGGGAUUAAUUGUUCUAUGGUUGCUCGAUACUGGACGAGGGCUAAAAAAUUAUAAUUUGCAAUUGCAAAUAACAUUAAUGAUAUCAUCACGGAACGCUGAUAUUAAAAGAAAAAAUUCGCGUCGGACCAAAUUUCAUUCACGAUAGCCUUCGAGAGUCGAUGUGAUUUCUAAAUAAAUGUUUAUUAUAUAAUUUUAUCGAACGACAAAUUUAAAAUGACAAAGAAUCUGUAAGAAUUUAAAAAUAAGAGCUGAUUAUGCUUAAAAUACAAAUCGAAUGCCGAUAAAAGGUAUGUAACAGUAAUAAAAAAUGAUCUCGAAGCGAAGAUUCUUUCAUCAUCCAGUCGCGAAAAUUAUGCUACACGCUUUAUGCUUUAUCCAAUGUGCCUCUCUCUCUCUCUCUUUUUUGGUUUAAUGAAUUACCGUAAUAAUAUCGUCGUAAUACGAUUAUAAUAUCUACACGAUUAAGGCUUGCUCGUGUUUCAUCGCGGAUCGUUACGAUCGUUCAUUUACAAAUUCAGAGUUGGGUGAGAUUCGACGCGUAUACUUAAGAUUCUUCUCCUUACUUACAUUACGUUUUCGUUCGACUACGAUUUCGUGGACGUACGCUGGACGAAAGUUGUGAUUGCGUUUCACUGUUUCAUCAGGAACUAGUGAAUUUUGCAUCUAUGCGAGGAAAACGAAGAAUUAGUCGAAAAAUCGUCGAUCUUCGAUGAAUCUAUCUAUGUAUUUCGAAAUUUCGAAUAAUUAUCAAUGAUUACGAUACGACGACGACUAUCGUGAAAAAGGUGAUUAUCACGGGAAGAGUAUCCUGUUUUUCUCUUUUCUUUUUUUUUUUUUUUUUUUUUGAAAAGAUAACAGUUACGCGGAACGAUCUUAAAAAUGAUAAUUUUUCUUUUCGGGAUGAACACACAAUUAUUCUCUUUUUUAAUAAACGAUUAGAAACAACAGAUGUUAAGAAAUCGUUACGAUUAGUACAGUGUGAUAAUUUUAAUAUAAUAAGAAAAUCGUGUACAGGUGUAAAUCAUAGUCUUUAUUAUUAAACCUUCCACUUGAAUACUCGUACAAGCAAAUCGAUAUUCAUACCCCCUAAUCUUGCGUCUGUUUAAAAAAAAAAAAAAAAAAGAAAGACAAAGGAAAGACGAGAAGGAAAGAAAGAACGACGAUUGAUCAAUCUUUGAUGUCACUCCUCGCACAGAUACGCCAUUUUCUUCCCAUAAAAACUGUAAUAAUAUCGACGCGUUUCUGUUCACACAGACGUAAGAUCUACCCCUUCUCGCACAUUUAUCCUCGAUUUUCAAUCGACGCAUUCCGAAUAUUUCUUUUACGCUUAAAUUUUACGCUUAAUUACUUAAAAUUAUUCUACUUUCCAUUUUAUCCAAGACGAAGUUAUUUUGCGUUAAACGAAAUUCAGUGUGAUCUCAUUUUUAUAAAUAUCUUUACACCUCGAUGCUUUAUUCAAGGGGUGAGAAAUCGUCGAAUAUCCUCGACUCGAGCGUCUGAAUAUUCGAAACGGGAACGCGCGAACGAUUUUUCGAUGAACUCUCACCCAAUUCCGUUCCGACGUUGCAUUUCUAUCGCGUUUUCGGCUUGGUUUCUCGAUUCAGCCUUAUCUUUUUCCUUUCACUCACUCUCUCUUUCUCUCUCUCUCUCUCUCUCUCUCUUUCUAGAAAAUCUGAAAAAGCUUCAAAACUCGAUCUUCGUCCUUCGAUUAAUUUAAUCACCGCGUUUUUCUUUUUUGCAUGUUAUCAAUGAGAAAAGACGAUCAACGCUGUCUCACUCGCUUUAAAAACCCAAGAAACCGAGUAAUAGUCGUGUACACGCGUGUAUCUGUGUAUAGUGUUGUUUUAUUUCGUCCACGAUUCGGGAUUAUUCGAGGACGAUGAUGAAUCGACGGCGUAAGAUGGUUUUCCUUUUUCUCUUCUUUUACGACAGAAACUCGAGGGGUCGUGAGACGGUCUUCAGUAAAUCAAAGAACUAGGAGGUGAAUAUAAGAAACUCGGUUCGUAGUAAUUAAAUCGUUCUCUUCUUUACCCUUCCAGCGCUGUCAUUGUCUUUUCCACUCUUCCGAAGCUUUACAAUUUCUCUUUUCUAUAAUCUUCAAAUUUCGAUUCCCUUUAUUCCGUAUGCGAGCAACCCUUCCCUUGAAACGAAUCACGCUACUAUUUGACUACGGAGAAACCAUAUUGCUUAAUCGCACAAACACGUUUGACACCAAUUAUAACACGUUUAACGCUAGAGAAUCGAACGAGCAGGCGGAACGCAUAAAUUUAAGAUACAAAAUAAUCAUCGUGUCUAUCGAGCAAUGAAAAAAAAAAGAGAAAAAAAAAAAAGGAAAAAAGAGAAGAAGUGGAGAAUCUUUUAUCGAAUAUCAACGAAACAUGCUUGGUUUAUCUUUUACAAGUCAACCUUGGUGUCUGUACAAACUCGAACACUUGUGCCUCCGUACGAGCACCUGCUUCUCAUCCUUUCUUCUGACAUUUCAAUCUUUUAUUUCGUCAAAUAUCCCCAUUCUUUCUUUUCUUUUUCAUCCAUUUAUCGGCAAUUAAGCUGAUCGGUCAAUUAACGUAUAAUCUCGUCGAGUUUGUCAUCACUCUGACAAACCGCGACACAGAGGAGGAGGCUCGUGUCUCGUUUUUCAACCCUUGAAUAAUAACCAUGUAUCGUGGUGUGUCAGGCAAAUGCAUUUUAUUUUCUCUUCUCUUUCAAAUAUAAAAAAAUCAUUGUAUAUCAUAUAUAUAAUAUAUAUAAGUAUGUAUAUGUAAUAUGCGUAUGUGUAUUGUAUAAUCAUAUCGGAGUACAGAGUCGCGCAAAAUCGUACAAAAUUUGUCCACGUGGCGUUGGCGGGUGAUUAUGGUUAUUAUUCACGUUCGAUAGAAAAAAGGAUCGCGAUCGAUGGAGAAAGGGGCGGGAGAAACGAAAAGGAAACGAAGAAAAAAAAAAAAGAAAAA